rnacentral:rRNA from 1 species
AUUGAACGCUGGCGGCAUGCUUUACACAUGCAAGUCGAACGGUAACAGGCCGCAAGGUGCUGACGAGUGGCGAACGGGUGAGUAAUGCAUCGGAACGUGCCCAGUCGUGGGGGAUAACGCAGCGAAAGCUGCGCUAAUACCGCAUACGAGCUAUGGAUGAAAGCGGGGGACCGUAAGGCCUCGCGUGAUUGGAGCGGCCGAUGCCAGAUUAGGUAGUUGGUGGGGUAAAGGCUCACCAAGCCAACGAUCUGUAGCUGGUCUGAGAGGACGACCAGCCACACUGGGACUGAGACACGGCCCAGACUACUACGGGAGGCAGCAGUGGGGAAUUUUGGACAAUGGGCGCAAGCCUGAUCCAGCAAUGCCGCGUGCAGGAAGAAGGCCUUCGGGUUGUAAACUGCUUUUGUACGGAACGAAACGGUCCUGGUUAAUACCUGGGGCUAAUGACGGUACCGUAAGAAUAAGCACCGGCUAACUACGUGCCAGCAGCCGCCGCCGUAA